CGGGACUCUCAAGAGUCUUCUCCAACACCACAGUUCAAAAGCAUCAAUUCUUUGGCCCUCAGCUUUCUUUAUAGUCCAACUCUCACAUCCAUACAUGAUUACUGGAAAAACCAUAGCUUUAACUAGACAGACCUUUGUUGGUAAAGUGAUGUCUCUGCUUUAAUAUGCUGCCUAGGCUUGUUGCAGCACUCAGAAUUUGAGGAACCAGGAUUGACCCUUUCCUCCAACUCUUCUCCCAGUGCACCACUGGUCCGGGAGUCAGGACGAAUGCGUGUCAGCUCUGUCUCUGCCACCUUCCUUGGGAUAUCAGGAAAGCUCUCUUUAGUACCAGUUUCCUCAUCUGACAAACGCAUGGCUCACACUAGGCCUUCCACAAAUCCAGCACUUAGUGAUUCACUAUAUCAUCACCCACUCCUAAUGUUCUGUUUGAGGGAUUUAGUAUUUUUAUCUUCUUUUUUUAAAAAAAUCAGGAAUUUGAGCCUGUAGCCAAUGAACUUUCCUCCCCCGUUAUGAGAAACAAUCCUCAGAAUCCCAAGGAAACCAGGUCCAGGACUUCUCCCAGGGGAGGUUUCUGCAUGCGCAUAACGUACUCUGUCUUAAAAAAAAAAAACAAAACUCUUGACGUCCUUCCCUCCAGUGAAGUCAAUGACUUGCAACUUCCUUUCCCAAGUCCCCACAGAAUUUUAGGCAAAUUAACGCAGGAGCAUUUGAUCUUCUCCCCAGAUGUUUUGAUCACAGAAGGGCCACAUAUGUGCACACAUUCCUGGAUAUUUUUAGGUUUUUUUAUAAGCUCCAAAGUUCUAACUGCUUUUUCACUCCGCGCAUUGUGGGCACUGCCGGGAGAUGUUCCUGCCGAAGCUGCCAAGGCAGGGUCUGGUGGAAGGGGGCCUGGCCCGGGAAGGCUCCCGGAAGUUGCUCUGAGCGAUCCUGGAUGCUGCAUGGCUUCAGUCCCUGAGGCCUCUCUGGCCACUAAGAGAACACAAACCGCUGCCAGGAUGCCAGAGAGGUGCAGGGGAGUUUCCUCCUGUGAAAAAUCUCUGUCUGACUCUGCCCUUGAGAAAACAUUGGUGUGGCUACAGUAGGUAGCCCUUCCUCUCUGAAAGACGCAGAGUGAGAGCACAGCCCCACCCUGCAGCUUCCAGAACCCUUGGCUCCGGGACUUUCUCAGGCUCUCCUCUUUGCAUUGUCAAAACGGAACAGACUGCGCAGAAGGAACGUGUUUGGUGCUGAGACCGGAGCCAGGGCACUAUGCACGGAUCCAGACAAUCUGCUCCACUCCUUCCAAGGAGAGAGGAAAGGCUUUCAGUACUUGCUGACAACCAAGCCAGCGAUGGGAACAUCUCUGGGUGACCAGGGGUAAACAAAGCAAGAGACGUACACCCUAUGCUGAUGCACUUUGAGAAAUAAAGGGCUUCUAGCUUUAAAUACUGUGGUUUCAUAUUGUGUGUGUGUGUGUGUGUGUGUGUGUGUGUGUGUGUGUGUGUGUUUUAGGGUGGUUGUGGUGAUGCAAAAGCUGUCAGGUCCCACCUCCCCCCAGAGCUUGAAUUGCAUUGAUGGCCCCUCUUCCACACUUCCCUUGGACACCUUCAGGGACCAAACCCUCUCACUGUUAGAUAGCUCUAAUAGAAAGCUUUCGGUCACUUUGAUGGUUUAUCCUUUUGUCUUAAGCCCAAUUCUUUCCUCCAUUUGGAACUGGUCCAAUCCUUCUUCCCCAGGAAAGAUUUGUAGAGGCAACCAUGGUGGUAUUGGUAACAAUACCACCCAAAUCUAUUCUUCAGGCUAAACAGACCAAGUUCUUUCAAAUGUCUUUCCCGUGACAGUUUUGAGUCUCCCUGCUUCCUGAUCACCUCUUUCUUGUCACCACAUAAGUGACACAAUACUCUGGUUGUCUGUAGUUCUCACACAGUAAGUUAUUUGGGAUGGACAAGUUUUCCAGAGGGUUGAGGGGCUACCUCUUUAGCACCACACUUUUAAAAAGCAUGACAGAAAGCAUGCAGGAUGCGGGCCCCAUGUAGCAAGCAUAGAUCUCUAUCAUUUUUCUUUCUGAUGUUUCUCAUCACCUCUGACAUCAUCUCCUGAUACUUCUUCCCACACACCUCUUCAAGUCUCUUUGCUCACCAUCUCCUGACAAGACUGGACUUUCUGUGCCAUCAGAGAAAGAACAAGGACCAAUGAGAGGAAGCCACAAAACGUCAG
ensembl:lincRNA